rnacentral:lncRNA from 1 species
UUUGAACAAAAUUGAAGAGUCCAGCUCUUUUUUCUUGCCAGAAGAAUAGUCCUGGGCUUAGUUUCAGAAGGUCUCAGAUCACUGGCAGUCUUUCUACAAGAGUACUCCCAGGUAUAUUUCUAAGCAAUGUCCUUUCUCUUGUUGGGGGACGUUGGAGAACUUUUCUUCUUGGUGCCAUAUCAGCUUAAGGCUGGACUCAAAUACUGAAAUGCUCUGUCACUCAUCUUUGGCUCUCUAUCAGUUGUGCUGAGGCUCCACAGGAGGACCAGAUUUCUGUCACAAACCAGCAAUGGAAAACCAGGAUCUCAUCUACAGCUCAUACUUUUCAGCUUGUAUCAGACAACAGUGUUCCUUCACCAAGAUCUUAGGCAGAAUUUUCAGCCCAGGAUACGCUAAUUCCUGAUGUUCUUCCAACGUGAUGACAUGAAGCUCCAUAGCCUCCCAACAGAAGCAUUUGAGCACGAAAUACUUAGGCUUUGACUUCAUAGCAGCAGGGAAGGAAGACAUUUCCUCUACCUUUUCUGGGUUCGUCUGGCUGGAGAACGAAUUAAAUUUACAUGAGACAGAAUAGUAGGAGAAAAUUAAACAAAGCUUUAUGAGGACCAUGGCCCGGGGCCUUUCUUCCCAGAGGAAGAAAGGGCACCAAAGAAGUGGGGUGCACAGAGUGGUUAUAUACCCCAAAACAGGAUGUUUCACAUGUGAUUGAAAUGUCCCUCCCACAAUAGUCACAAGAUUGCCCUGUGGCACAGCGCUUGAUGGACACAGCAGGUAGUGGGUCUGCUAUCUCCAUGAGCGGGCCAGGAGGCAAGUCUAUUGUCUCCAGCUGGGUGGUCACAGGUGAGCGCAGCAAUCAGUUCCUAGCCUAAGGAAAGAUGCUAAAUCCUUAAGGAAAUGCCAACGUUGGGAGGGGGAGGGAAGUUGAACCUUUGUCCCAAGGGCCUUUGUUUUGCCCUAGUAAAUGUUUUAAAGCAGAUAUACAACGCGUGCUCAAUGGCCACAGUCAGGCCCUUUUG